UAUAAAUUACACGAAACAAUCAAGUUCCCUAAAUCAGCACUUGAGUUCCCUAAAGGCUUGUUCCAUACUGUCGUUUCACAUUCUCUGUCAAGUUUUUCCCUUCAAACACACACACAUACUGACAACGUACACUGUGAUUUUCUCAUUGAAAAAUGGCUGUGAGCACCUAUGAAAAGCUUCAGAAUUGUAUUUCCCCACAUCAUUUAUUUUCUUUGGGCUGCCGAGUCUUUCUCCCAUGCUUCAUGCUCUGGCUGCGGUGAGCUGAGAGAGAACAGGACACGCCUAAAAAACCCUAAAGUGUCUCUGGUGGCCGGUGUCAGUUGUGCACAGAGAUUGUGGUCCUUGGCCCCGACCCAAGGAUUAGGUGUUCCAGGGAAGAGAGAUUUCUUGGCCCUUGCCAAUCCCCAAGAGUGCUUUGGGAAUUGUGUGUUUGUGUAUAUGUGCUUUUUCCUCCUCCCUUCCCACCUCCUCUGCACUUGAGUUUUACGCCAUCUUUCUCCUCCUCCUCAAAAUGCCCACGAAAGCACGCGGAUGGCAUAAUCAGGGCCUGCCCUGGCUGGGUGGGUUUAAAAAGACUGACAAAAUGUAGCUUGGAUUGUGAAGGGGGACAAAUCUAGUAAUAUAGUCAAACAGAGUGGGAGAGUGAGAAAGGGGGGAGAGAGAGAGAGUGAGCAGUCGAAACAGUGAACGGUGGGGAAUCUUGGGCAAAGGAGGUAAGACAGGAUAUGAAAACAAUGGACUCAUUGUAGAGAGAUGAUAGAAGGAUGAGAAGGAGAUCGGUGGAACACAGCACCAUCUACAGGCUGAUAGAGCACACCAUAAGAUGAUCGCAUGAAGACGACCAGAAGUGGUUGCAACACGAGAAAGAGUGACUCACUUUGAAACCCUCUUUGACGUGUUUCCACAUAAAAGGCUUCGACAAACAAGAGAGAGGUGACCGUUUUGUAGCCCCACCACCUUUCCUGUGCCAAAAAUGCCAACUGUAACAACAAAGAGUGGCAGAUGCCAAGGGAAUCCCAGACGAAUGACCUCCGUGAAGCCGGCCUACCAAAGAGAAGCAAAUAUUUACCCUGCGUGUUUGAACCCAUGGCACAGUGCCACGGCUGCCCCUCAGAGUGCAUACCGGCCCGAUAGGCUUACUCGUCCUCUAACUUUACUCCCUGGGUACUCACUAUAUGACGCCAGAAAAAUCUUCUCAGUUUUCAACCAUCAUAUCAUAGAGUGGGUCAUGACAGAAAGGGUCCAGCACAUCCCAGAGCUCAGCCGCCCUGAGACCAAAGUCUCCUUACGGGACACUAACUUCAAAGUCCAUUUUGGAAGGACUGAUCUGAAGAAGACGAACCGGUCUCUGAUAACCAACAGAGCAGUCGGGAUCAGUGGAGAAGCCACCAAAUGAGAUCUCCUGGGCAUCAAACACACACAAUACAUAAAAUAUGUGCAUAUCAUAUUAAUGUGCUGUUCUAUUCUUCUGUUGAGGUGAAGCUGGAUGGAAUAUGCUGGCUGUCUUGACUGUGCAUGAUUUACUCUAUAGUAAACAGUUUUGCAUGGAAAACAUAUUGGCUCUAGUUUUGCGCGACUCUUUGACUCAGACUCUCCUCUUGGAAGAAUUUGCAGGUCAUACCAGGAUGCAAAACUGCACAUCUGACCCACCUGUGCACUCCAUGACCCCAUAACCCAUCAUCCUCCAUCAGAUUAGCAUGUCCACUCCAAGAAAUGAGCUCUCAAAUCAGCAUUUAAUCUGUCAGGAGAACAACAACAACUGCAGCGUGGUGCAAUAUAGAACAGAUGUGCAAGAUCUAUGACAAGAAAAUGCCUUGAUGCUAUGUGUCAGCCAUCAUUUAAAAACAAAUAAAUAAAUCAGACUCAAUCUGAUAAAAGGGCCCAGAAUAGGUGCGGUGGAAAUUGAGAAACUCUGAAAAUCUUUCAGAUGUCUGUCUGCAUUAGGCUAUUGUCCUUUAAUCUGACUCCCACCAUGCUGGAUUGAAAUCCCUGUGUCCUGUAGGAGCAAUCAUCAGCUACAUUAUGGGGAAGGGGAGGUUAAGAGGCAAAAUGGAGAUGCGAACAAUGUGUUAAGCUCUGUCAAAAAAAAGAAAAAAAAAGAAAAGAGGAUUGCAGUGGAUAUUGAAUCAAUCACUAGAGCUACUGACUUUAUGACUCUACUAAGCUUGUUCUACUAGAUAGACAGGUGCUAUUGUUUUGAGAACAGCGAUCCAGGGUGAAAUGUUUGAAAAAUUCUUCAAUGGUAAACAAAAAGUAACUUUUUUCCUGAAAUAUUCCACAUCAAGCUCCGUGUCGAAAAUGCAUGACUCCAGGAGUUGGCAUGCGGCAGCGGUUCCAGCCUGCUCAGCCCACGCCGUCUCUAAAGACCCUUAAACCAAAGCAAACGUUUCAACAACAUUUCCAUCCAUUCCUGCUCUAACAGUGUGAUGAGAGCAGGUUAAAGCUGUAAGCCAUCAAAGUCUGCCGAGCAGCAUGCCCUGUUUGAAACUCAUCUGGAUCCCCCAUAAACACUCCACUGCUAAUUGGCUGCACAUGUGGCACUGAGUGCAUUUUAGCAUGCGUUAGUGUGUGUGUGCCACAGCGUUGUAGAACGUGCAUGCGUGUGUUGGCAUACAACAUGGCUUAUCAGUCUGAUCAAAGACAGCCUUUCCUUAAACUGUCUGCAAUAUGAAAGGCACACAAAGGCAGGAAUAGCUUCAUCGUAAAUAUCUGAUCUGGAGAGUAAUUGGUACCUGUCUCGGAGAUCUGGCUCUUUGAUCGACACUCCUUUCCUCUUCCGUAGUUUAAAUGUGGAAAUAUAUUUAUUGGUGGCUCCCCCACAUCCGAUCGUCAUGCGCCAUCUGGGCAGGGUGCUAAAAGAUGCUCGCCGCCAAACGUCCUCUCUGAGCUCACAAAACUGUCCUCGCUUCUUGCCACACAGCAUAUGAGAAAUACCUGAGAAGAAUGGCAUACAAUUUUACUAUCAAAAAGGAAAACUGUUUAAAUUUCUUGAAUGAUAAAUA